GUUAAGACAGUUACAGCGUUUGUGAUGUGAUAUGACUGUUGUUCUACUGUUUGUAGAAUCUAACUUAUUUCUUAAAACUCUUCAGUCACUGAGAGUUGCUACAAAGUCUUCUUCAUCAGUAAGCAGAAUAACUGAAGGCAAUAAGAGCUACAGGAUCUGAAGGCGUUUCUCUGUCCAGCUAAAUGUUCGUGGAUAUAGUAGUGGGAAAAACUUUCAUUUUUUUCCCGUUUAAUUUUUCUUUGCUGAGAGAGGAGAAAACUGACACCACACUCAUAUCUUUGAGGUAAAUAUUAGACUACCACCAGUAGCUGCUUGUUUUAGCUUUGCACACAGAAUAGAAACAGGGAAAUGGUUAGCACAAGAAAAUUUGUUGCAGGUGGCAUUUUUUUGCUACCAUUACACAGAGCCAGGUUCGCUGUAUCCACUUGUUUUGCAGUCUUCAUGCUAAGCUAAGCUAACCAGCUGCUGGUUGUAGGCCUAUUUCCAACAAACAUCAAACUCAUGGCUUUAAAACAAAUAGCAUAUUUGCAAAAAUGUGAAACUAUUCCUUUUAAGGGGGACAACUUUCAGUAUAACUCUUCUUAUGUGAUAUUCUUCUGGUCAAAGUGUGACAUCAUAUAGGUGUGCAGAGUUGUGUUGAUUAUGGAGAAUAACUUGACUUUGUCAUUUCCAUCUGAGAGGUCAUCAAAUCACUGAUCUCUCAAAAACUGGAAUAUCUCCAAUGAGUCCUCUUGGAAAACACUUCUUCAAAAUCACAUCUCAAAGCUUUUAUUCAUAACUCUCAAGUUUCAUGUCAUAUUAUUUAGUUUCAUUUGAGACGUUUUCACCGUUAGAAUAACACAUGAAAUCUAAAUAUCUGUGCUGUGCCUCUUCUGAGUCUCUUCUCUGUCAUAUCACUGGCUGAGUGUUUACCAGGCUCUCAGAUUCUCAUUCACCUAUAAAACUAUAAAACGGAUGCUUCACUGAAGAAAUCAGUUGCCUGGUUCCAAAGAAGGCCUUUGCUUGUUUUUCCAUGUUGUUCAGUGUACCACAGAGUAAAAUAAACACGCAGGUUCCAAGCAGCGA